CCUACGGGUGGCAGCAGUGGGGAAUAUUGGACAAUGGGCGAAAGCCUGAUCCAGCCAUGCCGCGUGUGUGAAGAAGGCCUUCGGGUUGUAAAGCACUUUCAGUGGGGAAGAAAGCCUUGGGGCUAAUACCCUCGAGGAAGGACAUCACCCACAGAAGAAGCACCGGCUAACUCCGUGCCAGCAGCCGCGGUAAUACGGAGGGUGCGAGCGUUAAUCGGAAUUACUGGGCGUAAAGCGCGCGUAGGCGGUCUGAUAAGCCGGUUGUGAAAGCCCCGGGCUCAACCUGGGAACGGCAUCCGGAACUGUCAGGCUAGAGUGCAGGAGAGAAAGGUAGAAUUCCCGGUGUAGCGGUGAAAUGCGUAGAGAUCGGGAGGAAUACCAGUGGCGAAGGCGGCCUUCUGGACUGACACUGACGCUGAGGUGCGAAAGCGUGGGUAGCAAACAGGAUUAGAUACCCCGGUAGUC
rnacentral:rRNA from 1 species